rfam:Triticum aestivum genome assembly, contig: Triticum_aestivum_CS42_TGACv1_scaffold_375448_5AL
GUAUUACUCCCUUCAUUCGAAAUUACUUGUCGCAGAAAUGGAUGUAUCUAGACAUAUUUUAAUUCCAGAUACAUCCAUUUCCGAGAUAAGUAAUUCCGAACGGAUGAAGUAUUAA